rnacentral:tRNA from 1 species
ACCUUCGUGGUGUAGUGGUCAGCACACUCGGCGCGUAUUCGAGAUGUUCGUGGUUCGAGUCCCGGCGAGGGCA